rnacentral:tRNA from 1 species
GGAGUUGUAGCUCAGCAGUAGAGCGCUUGCCUAGCAUGUGUGAGGCACUGGGUUCAAUUCUCAGCACCA